AUGAUUCGACUGCAGUUCUCAAGUUCUGACCUUGUUAUUAAAACGCUUUGCUGGACAUUGAUCGACUCUGGACCCAUGCCCUGUCCUCUUGUCCUGUGUUUUUCAGGGUCAGAGGCCAGUGCUCUCCCUGACUCUGGGGACAGGGCUCCUCUUGACCAGCAGCACAGUGAGAGCUCACCGCCGCACAAGGGAAAGAGACACUCGGGGAGCAGCACACAGAGAGCAGACAGAGACAGGAUCUGGACUCUGUGCCCACGAUGAAGACCGAGCCUGAGAGUGAGACACCUGGGCUCUUAGUAUGUGAUGAUUUUAUAGAGAAGAUGAAUAAUCUGGACUCGAACAAUAUUACACAAGGUUGUAAUGAAUUGGGCUGUGUCUCUGUACAAGAGCACAGUGAAGAACUGGAUGUCUUUAAUCUUACAGAGCAGG
rnacentral:lncRNA from 1 species